rnacentral:rRNA from 1 species
GACGAACGCUGGCGGCGUGCUUAACACAUGCAAGUCGAACGGAAAGGCCCUUUCGGGGGUGCUCGAGUGGCGAACGGGUGAGUAACACGUGGGUGAUCUGCCCUGCACUUUGGGAUAAGCCUGGGAAACUGGGUCUAAUACCGAAUAUGACCAGUCUUUAGUGUGAUUGGUGGAAAGCUUUUGCGGUGUGGGAUGAGCCUGCGGCCUAUCAGCUUGUUGGUGGGGUAAUGGCCUACCAAGGCGUCGACGGGUAGCCGGACUGAGAGGUCGAUCGGCCACAUUGGGACUGAGACACGGCCCAGACUCCUACGGGAGGCAGCAGUGGGGAAUAUUGCACAAUGGGCGCAAGCCUGAUGCAGCGACGCCGCGUGGGGGAUGACGGCCUUCGGGUUGUAAACCUCUUUCGCUCACGACGAAGCGCAAGUGACGGUAGUGAGAUAAGAAGCACCGGCUAACUACGUGCCAGCAGCCGCGGUAAUACGUAGGGUGCGAGCGUUGUCCGGAAUUACUGGGCGUAAAGAGCUCGUAGGUGGUUUGUCGCGUCGUCUGUGAAAUACCGGGGCUUAACUUCGGAGCUGCAGGCGAUACGGGCAUAACUUGAGUGCUGUAGGGGAGACUGGAAUUCCUGGUGUAGCGGUGAAAUGCGCAGAUAUCAGGAGGAACACCGAUGGCGAAGGCAGGUCUCUGGGCAGUAACUGACGCUGAGGAGCGAAAGCAUGGGUAGCGAACAGGAUUAGAUACCCUGGUAGUCCAUGCUGUAAACGGUGGGCGCUAGGUGUAGGGGUCUUCCACGACUUCUGUGCCGUAGCUAACGCAUUAGGCGCCCCGCCUGGGGAGUACGGCCGCAAGGCUAAAACUCAAAGGAAUUGACGGGGGCCCGCACAAGCGGCGGAGCAUGUGGAUUAAUUCGAUGCAACGCGAAGAACCUUACCUGGGCUUGACAUACACCGGACCGGGCCAGAGAUGGUCUUUCCCUUGUGGCUGGUGUACAGGUGGUGCAUGGUUGUCGUCAGCUCGUGUCGUGAGAUGUUGGGUUAAGUCCCGCAACGAGCGCAACCCUUGUCUUAUGUUGCCAGCACGUUAUGGUGGGGACUCAUGAGAGACUGCCGGGGUUAACUCGGAGGAAGGUGGGGAUGACGUCAAAUCAUCAUGCCCCUUAUGUCCAGGGCUUCACACAUGCUACAAUGGUCGGUACAACGCGUUUGCGACAUCGUGAGGUGAAGCUAAUCGCUGAAAGCCGGCCUCAGUUCGGAUUGGGGUCUGCAACUCGACCCCAUGAAGUCGGAGUCGCUAGUAAUCGCGGAUCAGCAACGCUGCGGUGAAUACGUUCCCGGGCCU